AUAAUAACAGAAUCAAAUUCUUCUUCUUCUUCCAGAUUCCUGUAUGGAUUUUCGAUUUUUUAACAGAAUCAGGUUAUAAUAACACUUCGACACCAUUUUGGCUUCAAAUGUUAAUUCAGUGAAUUUUCUCAUCGCGGAACGACAUUUGCGGCAGUAACCGCAUAAACAAACUUAUAUAAAAUAUUAUAAGAAAUUUACUAGGUAUAGACACAACAGAGAUAUCAACAGCAUCAAAGCUGUGUGGCUCUGUGGUAGAGCGAAAGUCACAUUCAGGAGGAAAGACCAGGCCUGGAAUCGAAACGAGGGAACGCCCUGAUUUUUCUCUGUGUCGUCAAUUGUUUACAAUAUGUAUGUAACGACACCGACAACUUCUUCUAUGUUGAGUGGCCCAGGUUUUUUCCUGUAUAGCCGGAUUUAACGUGGCCAGUCUAAUCCAAAUCGAGAUAUAGUAAAAACAAAAUCGGAAAGCAAUGCACCGGCCACCUCGAACCAGGCAGAAGUAACGAAAAAAGGACGAUGCAAUCAAAGCGCAAAUAGAAGAUGUUCCAAACAUUGGGCGCCUUACGAGUACGACACUUCAGUGCCGCAUGGAUGCGCGUCGAGAUGAAUAAAGGGAUUCUAUCGGUGAUGUAAUGUAAUGCACACUCGAAGUCGGCCACGUUUUUCGAAAAAUAUGAUUGAGGUGUAUAAUUGAGGUGAUAUAGUUUAUAUGAGGUGCGUUCAUUUAUACAGUAUUGGUAGUGACAGUGUCUCGACAUGCUUAACGCCGAGACACUAUCAAUGUCUCCCGAUUUUAAUUUUGCCUAUAAACAAAAAUAAAGUGAAAUGGCAGCAAUUUUGUUACUCGAUGAAGAGGACGAAGAAGCCUUUGAACUUAUCAAAAUUAUACGAAGAAUGCUUAGAGAUACAACUGAUCCUUUUACCAUCUCUGAGAACGAAUUUCGUAGAUUGUACAGACUGACGAAAGAUACAACUUGUGUUUUAAUAGAGGAAUGAGUGCCACAUAUGCCUCAGGUAUCAUGAAACACUGCAAUAUCUCAUGAAUUGAAGAUAUUAGUAUCAUUAAGCUUUUUUGCGUCAGGGUCUGUCAAAGAAGGGUCAGGAUUUUUUAACAUGCAUGUUGCAAGCAUCAUUAAGCCAUUCUCUUCAUACAACUGUUAAUGCACUGAAUUGUGUGAUGGACAAUUGGAUUUUUUCCAAUAACCGUUGGUAGAAUUCAAGGAA